AUUUCAUAUUUCUGCGCCAAAAGCUAUGUAAACGUCACAAUGUUUGACGUCUUUACCUUGUUUUCAUUUUGUUUCGGGUUUGUUGCAUUUUGUUUUGUUUUUAUGUUUGUUUUUAUGUUGAUUUAUGAUGCACCGUGCUUACCAGCCCCUCACGCCUGCUAAUAAUAUUUAUUUGAGAAAAAGAUGGGACCAAAGUCAUUACGACGCCCACAGAAAGAAGGUUUUUGCAGGUGAGUUGUAACACCGCCGUUUUGGUUUUUAUAUUUUAUUGUAUUUUCGUGCCCUCUUUUAUUACAGGAUUAUUCUAUUGCGUUAUUUUCAAUGAUUAAACUGGCUAAAUAUUUGACUUCUUACAUGCUCUAUAGAAUAUGUCAUGGAUUCUUUGACAGCAGAUGCUGUUGUCGAAGUUAGCGUAGAACUGUCUCUCUUUUAUGUUAAAAUUAUUCGAUCUGCAGCCAUUGUCUUCGAACUUUUCAGUGUAACUAACGAUCAAUGUAAUCAUAGAAUUAUUUUUUGGUAAAACGUAGUCGGUGGUUUAUGAUUCACAUAUUGAAAAAGCCACUUUAAAAACAAUUUGGUCGUCACCAAGAAUUGUAUCACAAAUAACUAUGCACUAGAGUUUUUGUAGUGACACUAUCGUCCUUUAGUGCCGCGCCAGUGAUUUGUGACUUGAUUUUUUAAUCUGUUUUCCAUGAAGAACAUUAGAUUUGACACUUCAUAAGUUUCUGGAUUAUAAUCCUGUUUGACUCAAGAGAUGCUUGAGUUAUCAAUUGAGAAGAUUUUUGCGGGUUUAUUUUCAAGAACUAUCCAACAAAGUGUAUACUCAUCAAACUAUAGGCUUCAAAAAAUUAUUCAAAAGAAACACGUAUCUUGUGCAUGAAUUUAGAAUUGUAUUGCAAUAAAAACUCAUCAAACUACAUCUGAUUAUCGAAAAACAAAAUGCAUAUGAAACUUUCAAACUUCCAGAGACAUAGUCAAUUAAAAAUGAAAAUACAAGUUUUCGUUGCUUUUUACGUACAUUCAAUGCACUUAUCGAUCUUUAUCACAAAGUUAAUUGAUCGUAAAUAAAACCCGAAAAGUAAAAGUAACGUUGAUGUUCUGCAACUUCGUGUUUGAUUUGUCCGGUUAACUGUUGCUUCGAGCGGCACUGUCGAGUAUUAUGAAGACGAUCGAAACGCGCGUCUUGCGUUCACAGCUCUUGUAUCUUUGAUGAGUUUAUAAAAUAAAGUGAACUAGCUGUCAGUAAACUGCGAGUACCCUUAGAUCUGUUCCUAGUGUCUUUUUGCUGGUGGGAUGUACAAUUAUCCGGUCACGUCCACUUGUAUUUUUGUCCAUCUGAUGAGUUAAGCAUUUUUCAACUGAUUUUUAUAGUUUGUUCUUAUGUUGUACUGUUAUACCACUGUCCCAGGUAAAGGGGAGAGUUGGGAUCCCGCUAACAUGUUUAACCUCACCACAUUUUGUAUGUAUGUGCCUGUCCAAAGUCAGGAGCCUGUAAAUUAUUCAGUGGGUGUCGUUUCAUAUUUGUUUUUCGUUCAUUUUUUAUAUAAAUAAGGCCGUUAGUUUUCUCGUUUGAAUUGUUUUACAUAGUCAUUUCGGGACCUUUUAUAACUGUCUAUAUGGUAUGGGCUUUACUCAUUGUUGAAGGCCGUAUGGUGACCUUUAGUUGUUAAUAUCUGUGUCAUUUUGGUCUCUUGUUGAAAUUGUCUCAUUGGCAAUCAUACCACAUCUUCUUUUUUUUUUUUUACAUUAACUGAUAGUUCCAAAGAUCCACCGUCUAUACCAUAAUAUUGAUUAUUUAUAAUCUUUUUCAGCAAAGCCGGUGGUCGACAACAAGCCACCUACGACCUACAUGCACCUUCAUAUAAAACUUAAGAAACUCCAGGUAAGAUUGUCAGAGAGACUAACUAACUAAAGUAGAACAAGUUUGAAAUGUAACAAAAGAGAGGCAAGUAUUGCGAAUGACAAAAA
rnacentral:lncRNA from 1 species